GACGAACGCUGGCGGCGUGCUUAACACAUGCAAGUCGAACGCUGAAGACCUGGCUUUUGUUGGGUUGGAUGAGUGGCGAACGGGUGAGUAACACGUGAGUAACCUGCCCUCUUCUUUGGGAUAACGCUCGGAAACGGGUGCUAAUACUGGAUAUUCACUGGUGGUCGCAUGGGGGUUGGUGGAAUGGGUUGGUUUGGUGGGGGAUGGGCUCGCGGGGUGUCAGCUUGUUGGUGGGGUGAUGGGCUGCGAAGGCUUUGUGGGGUUGCCGGCCUGAGAGGGUGACCGGUGAAAUUGGGAUGGAGAGACGGCCCAGGAUCAUACCGGAGCCAGCAGUGGUGAAGAGUGCACAAUGGGCGAAAGCUGGAUGCAGCGGCGAAGCGUGAGGGAGCGAGGCCUUCGGGUUGUAAAACUCUUUAGCGUAGGGUCACGCCGUAACUGGGGGUUGUGGUGAGGGUAGUGGGUAAAGAAGCGCCGGCUAACUACGUG
rnacentral:rRNA from 1 species